GAUAAAGUUAGGUUUACUUGUUUUAGUCAUUGUUAAUCUUUUAGGGAAAUUUGACAUUUACAUUUGUAUUGCAAGUAUGUUAAAUAGUUACACAGUUCUAUGAUAAUGUGGACUAACAGAGGUUUUACUUCCAUCCCUCUUCCAUCCAUUCUGGUUUUUUGCUUCCCCUAAAAGUACAUAUUAUUAAUUUGGAGGUUAUUUUUCUAUUAUUUAUUUUUUAACAUAAGCAAGUAGUCCAUAUGAAUAUUAAUAUUUUCACCACUUUCUUAGACUAAAAUUGGCAUCCUUGUUUUUUUAACUUUACACAGACCCUGGAUAAAACUCUACAUUAUGAGAAAGAUAGAUAGUUUCCUCAUUCAUUUUGCAUUUGUAACACUCUCAAAUAUGCAGACACACAUUAUUCUACUGAUAGACAUUGGAGCCUAUUUCAUUCUUUGGUCUAAGAGAUCAUACCACUAUAAAUAGUCUUGUCAAGGUUUUAUUUUGUAUUUUUGCCAGGAUAUUUUUAGAAUAGAGACAGGAUUGCUAAAUACACCAGGCACAGUUUGUACUCCCUUGAGAUCUGCCUUCUUCCCACUUCUGUGCAUUCCUCUCUCAGCUCUGUGAGUCUUCCUUUCUAAUGGCCUGCAGCUGUAACUGGAAGACUGCCCUAAAGAUACUGGAGCAGUUCUCUCUUGCAUGCUCAGAUUGCUAGAAGUACCUAGGAAUUUAUAUUCUUCCAGGGUUAGAAGGUGGGAGGAGAAUGGAACUCUCAAGAAAGUCACCCCAAGAUCUGUGGAUACUUUUCUGAAAAAAAAAUUAACUCAUAAGCUUACAAUAAACCAAACCUGUAUUUCUUAUCUGAAACAUUCAGAGACAAAAAUCAGAUCCAGUUUGGGAAAGUCCUUACCCCCGACUGCAAAGAACCUCUUACAGCUUCUCACGAUUCUUGAUCAUGUCACCCCUCUCUCACUGGAUCAGAUGGGUUUAGAACUCAUUUAG
rnacentral:lncRNA from 1 species